rnacentral:misc_RNA from 1 species
AAAAAGCAUGCAUAUCACAAAACUAAGUUACCACAAUGGCUAAAUUACAAAAAAAGGAUUCGUACUUGAUAAGGAAAUAUUCUUACAAGAAGGAAAAUCUCGAAUCCUAUCGCAUAGUUCUUCAACCCGGAAUUGAUGUUUUCUCCAUCAAAAUACCAUAUGUACAGAAACAACGGAAGCCAAUCGAUAAGAGAGUACACAAAAAGCUGUCUGAGGACUGUGAUCUGCUUUGUUAAAGUUUCCGAUAGUUUAGGUAUUAGCCAAUUGUGAUGGCAACCUGGGAUGAUUAUGUUCGCCUUCAUAUGUCACGAUAAGCAUUGAAGCGUCUUCCAAGCAUCUUUCAACAUGUUUCCGGGCAGGGCAACCUCUCAUGCUGCUACAUUUA